rnacentral:rRNA from 1 species
UAACGCGUGGGCAACCCGCCCCAUACAGGGGGAUAACAGCCGGAAACGGCUGCUAAAACCGCAUAAGCGCACAAGGGCCGCAUGGCCUGGUGUGAAAAACUCCGGUGGUAUGGGAUGGGCCCGCGUCUGAUUAGCUAGUUGGCGGGGGAGAGGCCCACCAAGGCGACGAUCAGUAGCCGACCUGAGAGGGUGGCCGGCCACAUUGGGACUGAGACACGGCCCAAACUCCUACGGGAGGCAGCAGUGGGGAAUAUUGCACAAUGGGGGAAACCCUGAUGCAGCGACGCCGCGUGAGCGAAGAAGUAUUUCGGUAUGUAAAGCUCUAUCAGCAGGGAAGAAAAAUGACGGUACCUGAGUAAGAAGCACCGGCUAAAUACGUGCCAGCAGCCGCGGUAAUACGUAUGGUGCAAGCGUUAUCCGGAUUUACUGGGUGUAAAGGGAGCGCAGGCGGUGCGGCAAGUCUGAUGUGAAAGCCCGGGGCUCAACCCCGGGACUGCAUUGGAAACUACCGAACUAGAGUGUCGGAGAGGUAAGUGGAAUUCCUAGUGUAGCGGUGAAAUGCGUAGAUAUUAGGAGGAACACUAGUGGCGAAGGCGGCUUACUGGACUGUAACUGACGUUGAGGCUCGAAAGCGUGGGGAGCAAACAGGAUUAGAUACCCUGGUAGU